rnacentral:rRNA from 1 species
AUUGAACGCUGGUGGCAGGCUUAACACAUGCAAGUCGAGCGGGGUGAUGGUGCUUGCACUAUCACUUAGCGGCGGACGGGUGAGUAAUGCUUAGGAAUCUGCCUAUUAGUGGGGGACAACAUCUCGAAAGGGAUGCUAAUACCGCAUACGUCCUACGGGAGAAAGCAGGGGAUCACUUGUGACCUUGCGCUAAUAGAUGAGCCUAAGUCGGAUUAGCUAGUUGGUGGGGUAAAGGCCUACCAAGGCGACGAUCUGUAGCGGGUCUGAGAGGACGAUCCGCCAAACUGGGACUGAGACACGGCCCAGACCCCUACGGGAGGCAGCAGUGGGGAAUAUUGGACAAUGGGGGGAACCCUGAUCCAGCCAUGCCGCGUGUGUGAAGAAGGCCUUAUGGUUGUAAAGCACUUUAAGCGAGGAGGAGGCUCUUUUGGUCAAUACCCAAGAUGAGUGGACGUUACUCGCAGAAUAAGCACCGGCUAACUCUGUGCCAGCCGCCGCAGUAA